ensembl:lncRNA
AUCCACCACCACACACACCACCACAUCCACCACCAUGUCCAACACCAUGUCCAACACCAUGUCCAACACCAUGUCCACCACCACAUCAAACACUACUUAAACCACCACAUCCAGCACCAGGUCCAACACCACAUCCAACACCACUUACACCACCAGGUCCAACACCACGCCCACCACCAUGUUCACCACCAUGUCCAACACCACGUCCAACACCACAUCCAACACCAUGUCUGACACCUCAUACACCACCACAUCCACCACCAUGUCCAACACCACAUAUACCACCACGUCCAACACCACAUGCACCACCAGGUCCACCACCUCAACCACCACAUCCACCAC